AGUGAACGCUGGCGGUAGGCCUAACACAUGCAAGUCGAACGGCAGCACAGUAAGAGCUUGCUCUUACGGGUGGCGAGUGGCGGACGGGUGAGGAAUACAUCGGAAUCUACUUUUUCGUGGGGGAUAACGUAGGGAAACUUACGCUAAUACCGCAUACGACCUACGGGUGAAAGCAGGGGAUCUUCGGACCUUGCGCGAUUGAAUGAGCCGAUGUCGGAUUAGCUAGUUGGCGGGGUAAAGGCCCACCAAGGCGACGAUCCGUAGCUGGUCAGAGGGGAUGAGCAGCCACACUGGAACUGAGACACGGUCCAGACUCCUACGAGUAGCAGCAGUAGGCAAUAUUGGACAAUGGGAGCAAGCCUGAUCCAGCCAUACCGCGUGAGUGAAGAAGGCCUUCGGGUUGUAAAGCCCUUUUGUUGGGAAAGAAAAGCAGCAGGGUAAUACCCCGCUGUUCUGACGGUACCCAAAGAAUAAGCACCGGCUAACUUCGUG
rnacentral:rRNA from 1 species